GACGAACGCUGGCGGCGUGCCUAAUACAUGCAAGUAGAACGCACAGUUUAUACCGUAGCUUGCUACACCAUACACUGUGAGUUGCGAACGGGUGAGUAACGCGUAGGUAACCUGCCUGGUAGCGGGGGAUAACUAUUGGAAACGAUAGCUAAUACCGCAUAUUAUUAAUUAUUGCAUGAUAAUUGAUUGAAAGAUGCAAUUGCAUCACUACCAGAUGGACCUGCGUUGUAUUAGCUAGUAGGUGAGGUAACGGCUCACCUAGGCGACGAUACAUAGCCGACCUGAGAGGGUGAUCGGCCACACUGGGACUGAGACACGGCCCAGACUCCUACGGGAGGCAGCAGUAGGGAAUCUUCGGCAAUGGACGAAAGUCUGACCGAGCAACGCCGCGUGAGUGAAGAAGGUUUUCGGAUCGUAAAGCUCUGUUGUAAGAGAAGAACGGGUGUGAGAGUGGAAAGUUCACACUGUGACGGUAUCUUACCAGAAAGGGACGGCUAACUACGUG
rnacentral:rRNA from 1 species